UGGUCAAGUUAUUAAGGGUGCAGGGCGGAUGCCUUGGCACUAGGAGCCGAUGAAGGACGUGAUAAGCUGCGAUAAGCUUCGGGGAGUUGCACGUAAACUUUGAUCCGAAGAUUUCCGAAUGAGGAAACUCACUUAGAGUAAUGUCUAAGUAUCAUUAAGUGAAUACAUAGCUUAAUGAGGGGAACUCAGGGAACUGAAACAUCUAAGUACCUGAAGGAAGAGAAAGAAAUUCGAUUCCGUAAGUAGCGGCGAGCGAACGCGGAUUAGCCCAAACCAAUAAAGUUUUCUUUAUUGGGGUUGCGGACAUAUCAUAACGAAGAGGUAUCGUAAUUGAAGAGGUUUGGAAAGACCCACCACAGAAGGUAAUAGUCCUGUAUGUUAAACGAGAAGACUUUAGAUAUGAUCCAGAGUACCACGGGACACGUGAAACCCUGUGGGAAGCAGGAGGGACCACCCUCCAAGGCUAAAUACUACCUAGUGACCGAUAGCGUAUAGUACCGUGAGGGAAAGGUGAAAAGAACC
rnacentral:rRNA from 1 species